CAAUAGCGUAUAUUUAAGUUGCUGCAGUUAAAAAGCUCGUAGUUGGAUUUCGGGUGGGAAUGGCCGGUCCGCCGUUUCGGUGUGCACUUGCUACGCCCACCUUGCUGCCGGGGACGUGCUCUUGAGUUCACGCUCGGGACACGGAGUCGGCGAGGUUACUUUGAGUAAAUUAGAGUGUUCAAAGCAGGCCUACGCUCUGAAUACAUUAGCAUGGAAUAACACGAUAGGACUCUGGUCUAUCUUGUUGGUCUGUAGGACCGGAGUAAUGAUUAAGAGGGACAGUCGGGGGCAUUCGUAUUUCAUUGUCAGAGGUGAAAUUCUUGGAUUUAUGAAAGACGAACUACUGCGAAAGCAUUUGCCAAGGAUGUUUUCAUUAA
rnacentral:rRNA from 1 species